GUCAUGAUGACUGGCAACGGCCUAGGAUGCAGUGGAUGAUUUUGGUGUCUUUGAUGUCUGACAAAGCCCAAGACGCUCCACAACGCCUGCUUCAGCCACAUUUGUGGCUGUUAAUUGUUCUUAUCUGCCUAUUCCUCUGGGGGAAAUCUUCACAUGCUUGGAGUAGACAUCUCCCUAACUCACUGAUGGGUUUGAGGCCUGUUGGUUACCUGCAACCUGGUUUAGCCUGUCUGCCCAGAUGGUUUUACUGGAGUAUGGCUGCUGAGCACGCUACAGUUUCUUGGAGACACAGGGGACCACCCAAGGUGGAUUCCACAAACAGAUGUCCUCGUGGAUUGUGCUACCAGAGAGGCAUACAUCUUGACUUUCUUCUACUCUGAGGCUGCCUAAAGUCAUUCACAAAAGUGAGGAAAUCUAGAACCCCUGAGAUGGAAUUCUUAAAUUGACUCUUCUUCUGUGGCUGCCAAAGUGAUUAUAUCGA